rnacentral:rRNA from 1 species
AGGUCUCCGUUGGUGAACCAGCGGAGGGAUCAUUACUGAGUUAUCUAAACUCCCAACCCUUUGUGAACCUUACCGUCGUUGCCUCGGCGGGCUGUACUUACCCUGUAGCUACCCUGUAGCUACCCGGUAGGUGCGCUCCAAGCCCGCCGGUGGACCACUAAAUUCUAUUUUACUACUGUAUCUCUGAAUGCUUCAACUUAAUAAGUUAAAACUUUCAACAACGGAUCUCUUGGUUCUGGCAUCGAUGAAGAACGCAGCGAAAUGCGAUAAGUAAUGUGAAUUGCAGAAUUCAGUGAAUCAUCGAAUCUUUGAACGCACAUUGCGCCCAUUAGUAUUCUAGUGGGCAUGCCUAUUCGAGCGUCAUUUCAACCCUUAAGCCUAGUUGCUUAGUGUUGGGAAUCUGCCCUGUAUUUAUAGGGCAGUUCCUUAAAGUGAUCGGCGGAGUUAGGGCAUACUCUAAGCGUAGUAAUAUUCUUCUCGCUUCUGUAGUUGUCCUGGCG